AACGCACAUUGCGCCCGCCAGUACUCUGGCGGGCAUGCCUGUCCGAGCGUCAUUUCGACCCUCAGGACCCCCCCGGGGGACCUGGCGUUGGGGGACGGCGCCCGUCGCCGCCCCCGAAAUGCAGUGGCGGCCACGUCGCAGCGACCUCCGCGCAGUAGCAAUACGCCUCGCGGGAAGGGAGCUCGGCGCGGCCACGCCGUAAAACGGCCCCCCACGACGAGUUGACCUCGGAUCAGGUAGGAAUACCCGCUGAACUUAA
rnacentral:misc_RNA from 1 species